CGUAGGUAACCUGCCUUGUAGCGGGGGAGUAACUAUUGGAAACGAUAGCUAAUACCGCAUAACAAUGGAUGACACAUGUCAUUUAUUUGAAAGGGGCAAUUGCUCCACUACAAGAUGGACCUGCGUUGUAUUAGCUAGUAGGUGAGGUAAUGGCUCACCUAGGCGACGAUACAUAGCCGACCUGAGAGGGUGAUCGGCCACACUGGGACUGAGACACGGCCCAG
rnacentral:rRNA from 1 species